UGUUCUGUGAUUUGGUUGGUUUAAGCGCCGGACUAGCGAUACGGAGUCGUGGGUCCAAAUCCCACCAAAACAA
rnacentral:tRNA from 1 species